rnacentral:tRNA from 1 species
GUCCCUGUGGCUCAGUUGGUAGAGCAUGGUGUGUGCAAUGCCAGGGUUGUGGGUUCGAUUCCCACGGGGGGCC